rnacentral:rRNA from 1 species
GACGAACGCUGGCGGCGUGCUUAACACAUGCAAGUCGAACGGAAAGGCCCUGCUUUUGUGGGGUGCUCGAGUGGCGAACGGGUGAGUAACACGUGAGUAACCUGCCCUUGACUUUGGGAUAACUUCAGGAAACUGGGGCUAAUACCGGAUAGGAGCUCCUGCUGCAUGGUGGGGGUUGGAAAGUUUCGGCGGUUGGGGAUGGACUCGCGGCUUAUCAGCUUGUUGGUGGGGUAGUGGCUUACCAAGGCUUGGACGGGUAGCCGGCCUGAGAGGGUGACCGGCCACAUUGGGACUGAGAUACGGCCCAGACGCCUACGGGAGGCAGGAGUGGGGAAUAUUGCACAAUGGGCGGAGGCCGGAUGCAGCAACGCCGCGUGCGGGAUGACGGCCUUCGGGUUGUAAACCGCUUUCGCCUGUGACGAAGCGUGAGUGACGGUAAUGGGUAAAGAAGCACCGGCUAACUACGU